GGACAGAGAAUUGAGGCUGUGCUCAAUGUUUGUUUGAUCUCAGUGAGAGGCCACUCCUGCUGACAGGAGUUGUCUAAACAGGAUAGGAUUGGCAGAAAUUUUCUGGCAGAAAUUUUUCUGAUGGGAUUGUCAGAAAAAGAAACCAAGUUCAGGCAGGAUCAUCAAGCUGUAGAAGACCUGCGCCACCCUCUCGACUUGCUGCUCCUGCCAGUGGUGGAGAGAUGGAGAUUUCUGUCACAGGAAGAGCCCCUCUGUCUUACAGCCUUCUGCCAGCUUCCGUGGCAAAUAGCCAGGCUGGGUUGGAGAGGAAAAAACAGCUGAACUCUGGACAUCCUAUGGUAAACUGUGAUGAGAAAACACCACCCUGAAUUUCAAAUAGCUUAAGGCUGGAAAACAUGCUGUCUUUAAACUCUCCAGGGUACUUCAGGUGGUAAAGUAGCAACUGAUAAUUAAAUACUCACUAGUUUUUACAGAAUUACUUCAGCUAAUUCAGUAUUUUCUUUACUGUAAUGCAGCACUAAGAUUCUGAUGACAUACUUGAUAGUUUUUAUUUCUUACAUCGCUGUGAAAACAUUCCUCUUUCAAGAGUUCUUGCUGCUUUUGGACACUGCCCUAAAGUAGAAACAAAAAGAAAACAAAAAGUCACAAGUGACGCGUUAGAUAUUUCAGCACAAUGUUUAUUGUACUCCGUCAGAACAGGCAGCAGACUAAACCAAGAUACAGCUCAGUAUGAUGCUGUGUUUGGUGGGGGAAGAACAGCACAGCUGUAAAGGAAAACAGCACAAUCACGAAGCAGGCUGGCAGCUUUUAAGGAGGCAUUCUUUGUUCAAGAAAAUUAUUUGUACUAUUAAUGUCACUAAAGGUAUUUGGUGAUAUGGAUUUAAAGAUACAGUGGAGAAAAUCUUGGUUUAAAACUAUAAAAAGAGAGUGCUACACUAAGGGGUUUUUUUAAGAAUUCUAGGGGCAACUAAGACUACUAGCCAUAGCUAAGACUGUGUUUGAGAAAAUAAUAUGUUUAUAUUUUACACACAAUUCCUUUAUGUAUUCCCUUUUGGAAGCAAUAUGGCAGGGGGAGGGGGAAAAAGUACAGUAAGCCCUGAAUUAAUUGUCUUUUCUUGACAUAUUUUCUAGGCAGAUGAAGUGCUUUCCCUAGCAAUUUUUUUUUUUUUUUUUCAUGAGCUGAAAUCAAAUUUCUAGAUUAGAAAGGCUAUUGUUUCAGUAUACUUGAUUUUAUGGUAACACAAAAAAAGUACAGUUUAUAGUAUUACACAGAAGUCAGAAUGAUGAAUUGAACUAUUUGCAGAAGAAAAUAUUUUGACAUUGAAGCCAAACUUCAAGAUAUUAGGCCUUAUUCCAAAUUGGAUGAAAACCCAAGGUAUUGUCAGGUAUAACCAUUUAAGAAUUCAUCUUUUCCACGUGCUUUAUUUACAUCCUUGACAGCAUUUUCAUAAGGAUUUUUCCAGACAGGUCACAUCUAGUAAAAGAGCUGUGGAGACAGAUAGAACUCCAAAGAGGUUAAAUAAAGCAGUUUGUUCAGGCA
rnacentral:lncRNA from 1 species